AGAGCUCACAAAUGACCUUCACCAAGUUUCCCUUCAUGGCAUAACUAAUGUAUUUGUGAAGAGGAAGUGUGUAAGACUGACCCAGUACUGACUAUGAGCAAAUGUUAGACUUGGUUCAGAUCUGCCAGGUCUUUUCCUGUCCCAGAGUGUUGCACCUUGGGACUAAGGCUCUGGUCCUCCGUGUCUCAACAGCUUUCCCAAGCUCGGCGCAAAAUGGAGGAUUCCCUUUUCUGCUUCUCUGCCUGAUGUGAGGAGCCUGGCUCCCAAUCUUCUAUCUGAGGAAUGUCACAUAGUCCUUGACAAAAUUACAGGUCGAGUUUCCUCUCUCCAGAUAAGAACCUACCCAGCAAACACCUGGGAUUCCUGGAGUGCCUCUCCAUGCAAAUGAGGUGUUCCCAGAACAUUACACCUCAGCCACGAAUCCUCACCGUAUGAAGCCUCAAUGAGCUAAGAAGAACUCCUUUCCACCUCCAAGGUUCAUAUAUUGCCCUUGAUUCAUCUGACAAAAAAGUGUAUAUGCACAAGCUGUCUCAUUGAAUAUCGUCUAAAAGAACUGCUUUACUGAAUCGGUCAAGAGAGCUGGAACACUAAACUCCUCAGUAAAGCCCCGCCACUCACACCCAACCGGACAAGGAUCCGGCAGACUCCACCCAAUCCGGGCUUCAAUUCAUCCUCCCAGCCUGGUGUGCGGGCGGCACCUGGACACCCUGAGGGAUGAAGUGGAACCAGAGAACAGCAAGGACCCCAUGAUGUGCCGGCAAUUCAGCUCCUUGUGACGUCAGCUUUUAGCCUCACUUUGCCCUGCGUCCGGUGGAAACCAUGCCCGUGACGGCCUCUGCUUUAAGCUCCGUGAGGGAAGAAGGGGAUUGAUUGUAGAGGCGAGUACGGAGGGUGGGGGGGGGGGGUGCGGGAGAGGGGUGUGUGCUGGAACGCUGAAGCUCAUUCCAGCUGCUACAGUGUCCCUGUUCUCACCAGCGUGACAAGCAUCACCACCAGGAUGCAAGAAGGACCUAUGAAAAGCUGGAGAUGGCGGCAUGCAUCUGGAAUCCCUGCACUCUGUUCAUGGGCCGAGAAGUAUAGAAAGGAAAAUGCCCCAGGAAGCUUUACAUGAGAAUGUAACACAGCGGCAGAAAUCACAAGAUACUUUGCCUCAAAUGAGAUAAAAGAUGAGAACUAACUCCUAAAA